CACGGAGCUCACAGUGGAAGCCGGCGUGAGUUAGCAGGACAGCAUGUUCAGUCAAGAUCACUGUCGUGGGACAGAUCGGACCAAAACCACAGCAACAGAAUGCUAAUACAAAAUGCGUGUGAGUCCAUAGCUAAUGCAAUGUAUGAUAACUUACAAGAAAAGUCUGAACAUUUAAGAGAAGAUAUUCUAAAAGAACUACGUACAAGAUGGAAGUCCACCAGCGACUACUACAUAAAGGUCUCUAAUAAGCAACAGGAGAACAAGUGGAAAUUACCAAGCCGAAAAACUUGCUGAAGAAGAUGCACCGAUUGAUGUCCUAGUUGAGGAUAUAACUCCAUGUGCCUAGGGAACAACAACUCCAGUUCUGGAAACUUCUACAGAGAGUGAUGGAAGGGAAAGAAAUCCUGUUGAAGAGGCUUCGGGUCGCUCCCAAACUUCUACCUCACAGGAGACUAACCCCCCUUCCUCCCAGCCUAUGAUUAAGGACCUGGCAUAGGUCCAAAAUGCAUCGGCUGAUUUGACGUUUCUGUGUGUACAUGACCCAAUAAAGCCAAUCUGCUUUUACCUGCAAUCCUGGGCUGGACCGUUCCUUCCUUUCUGCAUAUACCCACGUGGUUGGAGACGCUGCUAACCAGGCCUGUGCACAGGUGCAGUGGAGUGUCGGUGAACUGGUGUUUUUGCUAUAUUGUGCAAACCUAAUGUGGGGGAACUAUACUGCACACCUAAUCUGGGGGAACUAUACUGCCAACCUAAUGUGGGGGAACUAUACUGCCCCUAAUGUGGGGGAACUAUACUGCCAAUCUAAUGUGGGGGAACUAUACUGCACCUAAUGUGGGAGCUAUACUGCACCAAAUGUGGGGGAACUACAACCUAA